rnacentral:rRNA from 1 species
UAGGGGUGAACAUGCGGAAGGAUCAUUGUCGAA